rnacentral:rRNA from 1 species
CUACGGGCGGCUCCAGUGGGGAAUAUUGGACAAUGGGCGCAAGCCUGAUCCAGCCAUGCCGCGUGUGUGAAGAAGGCCUUCGGGUUGUAAAGCACUUUCAGUUGGGAGGAAAGGUUAGUCGCUAAUAUCGGCUAGCUGUGACGUUACCAACAGAAGAAGCACCGGCUAACUCCGUGCCAGCAGCCGCGGUAAUACGGAGGGUGCAAGCGUUAAGCGGAAUUACUGGGCGUAAAGCGUACGCAGGCGGUUGAUUAAGCGAGAUGUGAAAGCCCCGGGCUCAACCUGGGAACUGCAUUUCGAACUGGUCAACUAGAGUGUGAUAGAGGGUGGUAGAAUUUCAGGUGUAGCGGUGAAAUGCGUAGAGAUCUGAAGGAAUACCGAUGGCGAAGGCAGCCACCUGGGUCAACACUGACGCUCAUGUACGAAAGCGUGGGGAGCAAACAGGAUUAGAUACCCUAGUAGUC